rnacentral:rRNA from 1 species
UACCAGCACCCCGAGCGGUCGGGGCGUUUAUUGGGCCUAAAGCAUCCGUAGCCGGUUCUACAAGUCUUCCGUUAAAUCCACCUGCUCAACAGAUGGGCUGCGGAAGAUACUAUGGAGCUAGGAGGCGGGAGAGGCAAGCGGUACUCGAUGGGUAGGGGUAAAAUCCGUUGAUCCAUUGAAGACCACCAGUGGCGAAGGCGGCUUGCCAGAACGCGCUCGACGGUGAGGGAUGAAAGCUGGGGGAGCAAACCGG